rnacentral:rRNA from 1 species
UACAGAGGGGGCAAGCGUUGUUCGGAGUUACUGGGCGUAAAGAGUAUGUAGGCGGUUGGGUAAGGUUGGUGUGAAAUCUCCCGGCUUAACUGGGAGGGUGCGCUAAAGACUGCCUGGCUCGAGUGUGGGAGAGGAAAGCGGAAUUCCUGGUGUAGCGGUGAAAUGCGUAGAUAUCAGGAGGAACACCUGCGGUGUAGACGGCUUUCUGGACCAUAACUGACGCUGAGAUACGAAAGCGUGGGUAGCAAACAGG